rnacentral:lncRNA from 1 species
AGCCCAGCCCUGCAGUUUCCUCUGCAGCCCAUUGAUGGGGGAAGUGGGGUCCUGCAAGGCUCUGGUGGGCCUGCAAGCUGGGCCUGCUGAGCCACAGGGGCUAUUCUGAUCACCUCCUUCCUCUCUACCCUAUUGGUGAGGGGGACCCGCUGCCCUCAAUGGCACCAGAUGCCUGAGUGCCCAGCACCCAACCCUGGACAGCUGAGAGUGACAGCAGGCCACGGUCACAGGUGCUGAUGUGCGGGUGGAAGGCGGCCCACUCCACUCGGGGACAGGGUGGGCUCUCAGGGGCUGCAUGGCUUUGCAGUGGCCGCCCACAGGGUGAGGGGACCCUGGCUCUGUGGGGCUUGGGGCAGGGUGUUGGGAGAAUCCUGUGGGCUGGCAGGGAUCUGAAGCCCAGCGGGCUGAGGACCAGAUGGGUGCUGCUGGUCCCGCUGGUGGAGGAACUGGCAGGGUGGGGAGCCUUUCCCCCUGGGGGACACAUCCUAUGAGGACAGCGGCUCCCAGGAGGCCUCCAGAGGCUGGGAGGCCUUUCAACGCGAGGAUCUUACUGGCCACAGGUGCUGCUCAAACGAACGCUCCGAAAGUCUCAGCAGAGAAACCAACCCUCACAAGCUUUCGUCGUACGAUGGGCCUGGCUUCACUGAAUCCUAUCUAUGAACCUGGAAUCUGACAGAGAAACCAACCCUCACAAGCUUUUGUCGUACGAUGGGCCUGGCUUCACUGAAUCUGCAUCUUAUGUCACACUUAUUGCCAGCAGGACCUGCCUAGUGACAUUUAGCUGCCCUUCGAGUGGGCUGGCACCAGAUGGAAACUGGACAUAAGCUUUCGUGAGAGAUCGUGUGCAGUUCCUGAGCUUUGUGUUACCAGAUACUGUCUCUUCUCAGAUGAGGGUCAAAUUGAAAUUUCAUUACAGAAACCACCAGUCGCCACUGUUGAAGUUCAGAAGGGGUCCACCUAGUAAGGAAGGAGACCACUACUACUCCUGCUGCCCACCUUGCCUAGUUCACAAGACAGGAGGAAAGAGAGAAAGCAAAGAGUUGGAAAGAAACAAAAGUAAGAUAAAUAGCUAGAUGACCUUGGCACCACCACCCAGCCCUAGGAAUUAAAAAAUAAUAAUAACAUCAACCCCUGACCUAAACUACUUGUGUUAUCUGUAAAUUCCAGACGUUGUAUGAAAAAGCAUCGCGAAACUUUCUGUUCUGUUAGCUGAUGCAUGCAGCCCCCAGUCACGUUCCCCACGCUUGCUCGAUUUGUCACGACCCUUUCACGUGGACCCCUUAGAGUGUAAGCCUUUAGAAAGGCCAAUAAUUUCUUUUUCAGGGAGCUCGGCUCCUAAGACGCAAGUCUGCUGAUGCUCCCGACUGAAUAAACCACUUCCUUCUUUUUUUUUUUUUUUGAGACAGAGUCUUGAUCUGUCACCCAGGCUGGAGUGCAGUGGCAUGAUCUCGGCUUACUGCAAGCUCCAUCUCCCAGGUUCACAUCAUUCUCCUGCCUCAGCCUCCCAAGCAGCUGGGACUACAGGUGCCCACCACCACGCCCAGCUAUUUUGUAUUUUUAGUAGAAAGGGGGUUUCACCAUGUUAGCCAGGACGGUCUUGAUGCCCUGACCUCGUGAUCCACCCAUCUCAGCCUCCCAAAGUGCUGGGAUUACAGACAUGAGCCACUGCACCCAGCCAAACCUCUUCCUUCUUUAAGCUGGUGUCUGAGGAAUUUUGUCUGCGGCUCGUCCUGCUACACUGGGAUAGCCUUUCCUGGAUCCAUGAAAUGAGAAUUCAGUGAGUCAACUUUCAGGGUAACAGGAUUUUAAGACAUCUUCAUUUAUGUAAAAGAAAUCCCAUUCACAAACAUUCCAUUUUCAGUAACUGUGUUAAUUGUAAAUGACUCUUGUACAGUCACUAGAGCAGGCAUCGCAAAAACAUUGGUGCCUCGUUUUCUCAUUGAUAAAUAUGCAUGAAAGUCGUCUGUUUCAACGAUGCAGACAAAGAUACAAUGUUCCCUAAUCCAGAUUACAUCUUUUAGCCUGCUUGAUGGAUUAUCACUAAUUAGAUUUAUUCUUAGUUUUGUUACAUGCAAAUUUAUCUCAGUGAAAAAUAAACUCAACUAAAUACUGUUCUUUACUUGCUCUCUUGGAUAAUAAGAAUGUGGAGGGAAGGGUGAGGUUGCAGUGAUGUGGGGAUAAGGGGAAGGCGGAGGACAGACCUGGACCUGGCAGAGGAGGAAGAGGAGGAGGACGAGGUGAGAGAGGCCCCUCAUCUUCCCUGGUGUCGUGCACGCGACCUCAACUCUCGGCUCCUGUGGUCUGGGUGGUUCCUGGGUGCACAGAGAGCCUGGGACAGAGGUCCCAGGGACAGAAAGUCCUUGUUUCAGAGGAUCCAGGGUGACUGUGCAGUGAGUUUGCAGCAGCUCACCCAGCAUGUUGGGGGACGGCAGGGCUGGGUCCCUUUCUUGGGUUGCAGCUUUUCCAGGUCAUGACAUUGGCUCACUGAGCACAGCUCACACAGUGGAACGGCCAAGGCUCCAGGAACACGGCUGGGCACUGGGUCAUUCCGUGUUUGGGAAAAUAUCUUUCUUUUCACAAGGAAUGUGGCAUACAUGCACACACACACACAAACUGAUUAACACACAUAUAUGCAUAAACUAAUAAACACAUAUACACACGUGCACACACUCACAUAUUUACCAACAUACAAACAUGCAUACACUCACACACACACACACACCGACACACACAUAUGUAGAAAUUCAUAACAGACACACACCAACACAUGACCAUACAUCUACAAACUUAUAAACGCACACACACACACACAUCGACACUCAUACAUACAAAUUCAUAACACAGACACACACCAACGCAAUACCAUACAUCUACAAACUUAUAAACACACACACACACAUACAUACAAAUUCAUAACACAGACACACACCAACGCAAUACCAUACAUCUACAAACUUAUAAACGCACACACACACACCCCAGCAAUACAUGUGUGUUAAUCUGUUUGUGCUACUAUAACGAAAUGCUUCUUGCUGGGUAACUGAUGAAGAACAGGUUGUUUUCUUGCACAGUUCUGGGGGCUGUGAAGUCCCACAUCGAGGCACCAGCCUUAAUCCACCCUCCGCCCUCAUGACCUAAGCUCCUCCCAAAGGCCCCACCCCCAACACUGUUGUACUGGAUAUUAAGGUUCCAACACAUGGAUUUUGGGGGACCCAUUCAGACCAUAGCAGCAUUCAUACACACAAACUCUUACCCUUGAAAAUUAAAACCCUCACACUGAACUGAGGUCCUGAAUCCUCCUCUCUGUUCCAGACUCCACUCAGCUCAGCCUCAGCCCCAGGACUCCUUGUUCCCAGGGAGUUCAGUUCCCCGCAGCAGCUCCAGCUGGGCCUCCUCGCCCGGAAUGGGCUGGGUCGCUCCAGGGCCUCAACGUGCUCGGCCAUCACCACGCUUUAAGGGGUCUCAGGAGGUAGCAGGAUGCAUCGUGCCAUUGGUCACGCAGGCUGCACGCUCCUCAGCCCCUAGAGCAGCGGUCCUAAACCACACUCUGUGCCAGCCGCAGGCCGGGUGAGCACAGAACAGAGGCAGCUCUCGGGACGAGAAGGAAGCUUUCUGGAAAUGCCUCCCUGGCUGAGCCUGGUCAAGCGGCUGCGAGCCCACACCAGGCAGCUUCCAGGGCCCAGGAACUGAUGCCACAUUGGGGACCCCUCCUGUCAGGAGGCUGAUGCGGCCCCACACGCUGGCUGGCCACGUGCGGGAGGGUCUCCGGGGGCUGCUGCCUCAUGUCUCUGCCUCUGCUUUUCUGGAGGACAGCCCCUAGACAGGCUCCUGAGAUGUGGCCGCUGCUGCUGCUCCCCUCACUCACUGGAAGCGCAUGGUCUGGAGCUCACCCCAGAAUCCUUGGGUGGUUUUCACCCACAGCCUGUAGAAAAGCCACAUGGAUUCAAGGCCAUGCCUCUGCACCAUGUCCUCUGUCCCUGAAGGCAGAGGGGACUUGGAGCUGGCCCCAGCAUGGCCAUCCCAGCUGUGCCCAGGAGCCACCUUCUCACACCCAGUUGAGGGCCUGGUAAAGCAGCACCCCCAGCAACAGCUAUACAAAGAGCCCCUCUGGCCAGCCCUGCCCCCCACCUUUCCUUGUGGAGGGUCCUCAGGUCCAAGGUCCUCAGGGUUUUGCUAAGGCCCGUCGGGGGCCCUGCUCUGCAGAAGCAGUCUCCUCCUGUGGACAAGGCUACCGGCACUCACAAUGCCAAAAAGCAGCAGAGCCUGCAGGCCACAGAAGCCACGAGCCAGGGCAGCUGCAGGCACUCACCUGGUGACUGGCACCCUGGCCCACCGGCAUCCGAGAUUCUCCUCCGCACCUCCCCCUGUCCUCCUCACCUCCCCUAUGUCCUCCUCACCUUCCCCCACAACCCCAUCCUCUGGGCUGUGACUUCCCACCCUCUGGGUCCUGGCACAGUGUCUGGCCUCCCAGAGAGGGGUGAGGUUGAGAGAGGCUGACAGGCGUCUCCGACAUGAGUCAGCCCAUUCAGUUCCUUUUCCAGGGGCCACACUGAGUCAGCCCAUUCGGUUCCUUUUCCAGGGGCCACACUGAGUCAGCCCAUUCGGUUCCUUUCCCAGGAGCCACACUCGAAGUCACAAGAGCCUUGACAUGUUGCGGUGACCGCCUGCUGCCGGGGCUGACUGGCUUGUGACCCCGGCACCUGGAGGCCUGUCUCAGAUCCAAC